rnacentral:lncRNA from 1 species
CAGAUCAAACUUUUAAGCAGCUGAAAAUACAUUGUAAAAUAAUAAAAAUUAAGGGAAUCAUACCCUAAAAUGACAGAAGUAGCAUCACAAAGACUAUUAAGCAGUUAAAAACUACCUUCUAAAGUUCAUUAAAGUAACUAAACUUUCAAAAUAUUGUCUUAAUUUAACUUGAAAUUCUAAAGGAUAUAAAUUUAUAUCUUUUUUUUCCUGUAGUCAGGUUUCCACAGACAAGCUUUAGCGCACAGAGAAUAGCUCCUUUUCAGUUUAGCCAAUAAUAGGACAUUUAGGCGGGGAAAUUAAGGGAUUGACGAAGAAAAUCUCAUUGUAUAUGUAUAUAUUUCCCAAUAAAUUCAAAAUGAAGUCCAUUUGUUCCUAAUACACCCUUAAGUUUAUCUUUUCUCCUGGUCCAUUCCAUCCACUCCUCAAUUCAGAGCUUUAGAAAGAAUAUAAAGCAAAUAGUUCACCACGUUUCCCUUCCAUUCCAUCACAAAAUAUCAUACCAGAAUGUAAAAUCUUUCUUCACUUCCCGUUCCUUUUCCUUCCCACCCCCAAACCCACUGUCAGUUAAAUAUACAAUAACGCAGGAGCUCUAACAAAGUUCUUUCGACAGAACUUAUUGCGUCAAUAGCAUAUGAUUUUCCAAGCGUAAGACAAAACAUAGCUAAAUCAGUAUCCUAAUUAGCCACCUAAUUUAGGAAAAAACCAAGCUAAAUUAUUUGAAUCAGUAACUGCAUAUAUAUUGAAAUCGAAUUUGAGUACCUCGGGAGAAGAAUCAGGUCGUAAAGGAUCGAUGGAUAGUACGACCUUGGCGACAGGGUGCGAAUCCAAAGAAGACGAAGAAGAAGACGACGAAGAAGAGUGGCUCUGCCAUGCCUUUGCGACCACCAACGGACACUUCAUCAACCAAACCGACCUAUCAGCUUUUCCAGUUUCCAAUACACCGCCGUUUGUAACGCCGUUACUGUGCUCGUCCUCCAUCGACGGCUCGGAGUCCGCUUUCUCUUCUUGCUAUUUUACUUGACAAGUUCUUGUUUUCUGUUUGUAUCUCUCACUGAGUCGCUCCCUUUUCCUUUCCUAAACUGUCUAGUCUGAAAUAUUUUGGGUCGGGGCUGGAGGCUGGAGGCUGGAGGCUGGAGGCUGGUCGGACUCGCCCGAAGCGGAGACGGUAUUUAUGUUUCUUUUCCGGUUUUUGCGAAGGAAAUUAAAUUGACAUUUGACAAACCGGUCUACUAGUGUACCCCUUUCCCAAUUCUAUUAGUUACUUUUUCAGAAAAAAAAAAGUCCCCAAAACUUGUGUGUGUGGGUGUGUGUAUAUACAAAUUGAGGUGUAAUCUUCAUUGCAUGAUGA